AGGGAAUCUUCCGCAAUGGACGAAAGUCUGACGGAGCAACGCCGCGUGAGCGAUGAAGGCCUUCGGGUCGUAAAGCUCUGUUGUCAGGGAAGAACAAGUAUCGGAGUAACUGCCGGUACCUUGACGGUACCUGACCGGAAAGCCACGGCUAACUACGUGCCAGCAGCCGCGGUAAUACGUAGGUGGCAAGCGUUGUCCGGAAUUAUUGGGCGUAAAGCGCGCGCAGGCGGUCCUUUAAGUCUGAUGUGAAAGCCCACGGCUCAACCGUGGAGGGUCAUUGGAAACUGGGGGACUUGAGUGCAGAAGAGGAAAGCGGAAUUCCACGUGUAGCGGUGAAAUGCGUAGAGAUUAGGAAGAACACCAGUGGCGAAGGCGACUCUCUGGACCGUAACUGACGCUGAGGCAUGAAAGCGUGGGGAGCAAAC
rnacentral:rRNA from 1 species